UAGACACAAAAUGGGAGGGGGAUUGUUUAAAAGUACAUACAAAUCUAGUAUUAAUAGAAAUGUUUUUUAUUCGAUGUAAGUUUUGUUCAAUUUUAAAGCUAUUUCUCUAGGGCCAGACUAAGCCAUAGGCACUAUAGGCCUAGGAAUCUGGAUCCUGGAGCCACAUGAUUACUACAUCAAAACCACAGCUUUCAUUAUGAUUUCUGCCUGAGUCUGCAGAUGGCCUGAAAGGUGUGAACUUCCCCGUGCAUCUCAAUGGAACGUUAACUCCAAGACAUGCCACUCGGUGAGACCCAGUUAACACCACCCCAGCAGAGGACUGUGUGUGAGGCAGGAGGAGAAGAGUGCAGUGAAUCCAGUCACCCAUCCAAGCAGAUACACCCCAGUAGCUGAGUGAUGAUGCAUUCUUUGAAAGAAGAGUAUGGAGAGAAGGACCAUCUUCCUAGACAAUACGAGAAGACAGAAAAAGAAAAAUAAGACUUAAAAAACC